GACGAACGCUGGCGGCGUGCCUAAUACAUGCAAGUAGAACGCACAGUUUAUACCGUAGCUUGCUACACCAUAGACUGUGAGUUGCGAACGGGUGAGUAACGCGUAUGUAACCUGCCUGGUAGCUGGGGAUAACUAUUGGAAACGAUAGCUAAUACCGCAUAAUAUUGAUUAUUGCAUGAUAAUUGAUUGAAAGAUGCUAUUGCAUCACUACCAGAUGGACCUGCGUUGUAUUAGCUAGUAGGUGAGGUAACGGCUCACCUAGGCGACGAUACAUAGCCGAACUGAGAGGGUGAUCGGCCACACUGGGAGUGUGACACGGCCCAGACGCCCACAGGAGGGAGCAGUAGGGAAACUUCGGCAAGGGACGAAAGACUGACCGAGCAACGCCGAGGGAGUGAAGAAGGUUGUCGGAUCGUAAAGCUCGGUUGUAAGGGAAGAACGGGUGUGCGAGUGGAAAGUUCACACUGUGACGGUAUCUUACCAGAAAGGGACGGCUAACUACGUG
rnacentral:rRNA from 1 species